rnacentral:rRNA from 1 species
AGUGAACGCUGGCGGCGUGCUUAACACAUGCAAGUCGAACGAGAACGGAAUAUAGCUUGCUAUAUUUGUCAGCUAAGUGGCGCACGGGUGAGUAAUGUAUAGAUAACCUGCCCUUAAGAAAGGAAUAACAGUUGGAAACGACUGCUAAUGCCCUAUAUGCCUUUAAUACAUAAGUAUGCAAGGGAAACGCUUUAGUGCUUAAGGAUGGGUCUGUAUGGGAUCAGCUUGUUGGUGAGGUAAUGGCUCACCAAGGCUAUGACGCCUAACUGGUUUGAGAGGAUGAUCAGUCACAAUGGAACUGAGACACGGUCCAGACUCCUACGGGAGACAGCAGUGGGGAAUAUUGCACAAUGGACGAAAGUCUGAUGCAGCAACGCCGCGUGGAGGAUGACAUAUUUCGGUGCGUAAACUCCUUUUAUAUAGGAAGAUAAUGACGGUACUAUAUGAAUAAGCACCGGCUAACUCCGUGCCAGCAGCCGCGGUAA